UCCCUGGCAGUCCAGUGGUUAGGACUCCUCACUCUCACUGACGAGGGCCCAGGUUCAAUCCCUGGUCAGGGAA